AUUGAACGCUGGCGGCGUGCCUAACACAUGCAAGUCGAGCGGUAACAGGUGUAGCAAUACAUGCUGACGAGCGGCGGACGGGUGAGUAACGCUUGGGAAUCUGCCUGUUAGUGGGGGACGAACCCGGGAAACCGUACGGCGUAAUAACCGCAUACGCACUACGUGGAAGCCGGGACCGCAGCUGCGCUAACAGAUGAGCCCAACGUACGGA
rnacentral:rRNA from 1 species